AUUGAACGCUGGCGGCAGGCUUAACACAUGCAAGUCGAGCGGGGGAGGUUGCUUCGGUAACUGACCUAGCGGCGGACGGGUGAGUAAUGCUUAGGAAUCUGCCUAUUAGUGGGGGACAACAUUCCGAAAGGGAUGCUAAUACCGCAUACGCCCUACGGGGGAAAGCAGGGGAUCUUCGGGCCUUGCGCUAAUAGAUGAGCCUAAGUCGGAUUAGCUAGUUGGUGGGGUAAAGGCCUACCAAGGCGACGAUCUGUAGCGGGUCUGAGAGGAUGAUCCGCCACACUGGGACUGAGACACGGCCCAGACUCCUACGGGAGGCAGCAGUGGGGAAUAUUGGACAAUGGGGGGAGCCCUGAUCCAGCCAUGACGCGUGUGUGAAGAAGGCCUUAUGGUUGUAAAGCACUUUAAGCGAGGAGGAGGCUACUGAGACUAAUACUCUUGGAUAGUGGACGUUACUCGCAGAAUAAGCACCGGCUAACUCUGUGCCAGCCGCCGCCGUAACAC
rnacentral:rRNA from 1 species